rnacentral:rRNA from 1 species
UACGAAGGGGGCUAGCGUUGCUCGGAAUCACUGGGCGUAAAGGGUGCGUAGGCGGUUCUUUAAGUCAGAGGUGAAAUCCUGGAGCUCAACUCCAGAACUGCCUUUGAUACUGAGGAUCUUGAGUUCGGGAGAGGUGAGUGGAACUGCGAGUGUAGAGGUGAAAUUCGUAGAUAUUCGCAAGAACACCAGUGGCGAAGGCGGCUCACUGGCCCGAUACUGACGCUGAGGCACGAAAGCGUGGGGAGCAAACAGG